GACCAGGGAGAUGGCUCAGUCAGUAGAGCAUGAGAUUCUUAACCUCAGUGCCGUGGGUUUGAGCCCCACACUGGGCG